GGUUCCGUAGCCAAGCGGUAAGGCAAUAGACUGCAACUCUGUGAUCACCGGUUCAAAUCCGGUCGGAACCUCCA
rnacentral:tRNA from 4 species